AAGUGUGAGGGAAAGUCUAAGGUCCUAGGGUCUUUACUGUUUAACUGUGAAUCUCACCCCAAGUUCAACCUGCAGGCCAGGAGAAGGAGAGUUGAGAGUCAGACUGUCUAUGAGUGGCCGGGCCUCAUGACUUCCUGAGAGGAUGACGUCUGGAAAUGAUGUCGAGUAAGUUCCUGUGUGUCUUCCAUGUGCGCAAUGCUGAUUGUGCUUCCUGCAGGCAAGAAUAGAGUUUGGAGAUGGACUUGCUUACCCGUCUAAAGGAUGUGGAAUUGGAGAAUAAGUGAGCUAAUCUUGGAAGAAUUUUGCAGAAAAACAGGACAUUUCUCCAUGGAUCCAGAGGAAGUGGUAACUGAGGGUUUGAGCUCUAUAGGGAUCUGGCUUCUUCAUGGGUAUUCCUAGUGGAUGGCCUCAAGUCUACAAUAGAGACUGCUUGGCUGUCUGCAGUGGAAAAGACCUUCAAGUUGACUGUGAGUGGGUGCGACUCAUCAAGAAAAAUAACCUCACCACCACAACAACACAUGAUGGGAGAGACCGAAACUUCUUUGGGAGAACAUAAGGGGAAAAAAAAAAGAAAAAGUGAAGUCUAAAUAUUAUUAAACACAUGAAAGCAGAGUCAUUUACUUAUUAGGAAGGCGCUCAUUCACACACAGGUAGACUUGUGGUCCCUUAGAAGUACGUAAACACAACCCGUCAGUCCACCACAGUCAACAUCAGAAUUUCUUGGGAAAUGCCUCAUGAAAGAGUUUUUAAAGAAUAAUAUGACUGUGGAUCUGUCAAAUAAUUUCCCAAAAGCCAUGAAAGAUGAGUUGCUCUGCUCUGUUAUGCAUUUCCUUCCCUUGCACGGGCACUCACAGCUUGCCAAAUUUAGUCUGAGAUCUGAACAGAGAGAAAACAUGAACUCUUUCAACUGAAGUUCGGCUUCCUGUUUCUACAUGGCCUCUCAUACUCUGGGCCAUUCUGCAGAUCUACCCAGGUGUGUUUCCUGGACACUUGAUAAAAAUCAUUCUCACAUCAAAGUUGACCAAAAAUGAUUGAUGAUAAGUAGUUAAGGGUUUAUAAAUGCCAGACUAUGGGAGAUGAUUGUAAAAUAAAUAGAUAUAAAUAAAUAAAUAAACAAAUAAAUGUAAGCCCUCCAGUCUACUUCUAUGUUCAUUUAUUCUUCUGUUUAUAGCAGUCUGAGGCUACUCGAGGCUUAAAACAAAAUAUUGACAUACAGAUGUCAUGUUGGGACAUACAUGUCCAGGUGACCUAUUGUGAGUUGUGGAUUACUUCAUCCCCUUUCUGUAUCUCAGCAUCAUUUUAUCCGAACUGGAGUAGAAGACCUGCUCAAGACCGAAAGUGUCUUCAGACUCUCUUCAGGAUUGCUGGGUUGACUGGAGCAGCAUCUUAUAUACCUCAGCCACCCAUCUCAUAGGCCUCCAUAUGCAUUUGUUAAAGACCACAUACUCUGGACCAGCAAGAUGGCUCAGUGGGUAACAGAACUUGCUAACAAAGCUGACAGCAUGAUCUUGAUCCCUUCUCCCACCAUGUGGUCCACUCUGGUUGUCCACAGUCCUCCAUUGUGCAUACUGUGGUAUGCCUCCACACACAGUAAAUAAAUGAAUAGAGUAAAAUGU
rnacentral:lncRNA from 1 species